ensembl:lncRNA
AGCCAAAUGUAAUACUAUCUCCUACAACAUCCAGCACAUGUAGGCUAGUCUGACUCGUCUAUAUAAAAAGGCACGUUUUGGCACUCCUUCUUCAGGGUGAUGCAAAACAACCAAGUCAGGAAUGAGGGCUUGUUCUCAACUGUUGACUUGGCUGGGAAUCCUGCUAGGGGCUAUCUCUCCUAUCACUUUAGCUGUAGGGCUGAGAAUACUGACCCAGUGUCCAGCCAACGUGUCCUGGCCCCCACCAACAUGACUGACAGUCCAAGUGACCUUGCACGAACAUUGGCUUGUGAGAGCUGGAACGGCUAAGAGAAGUGGAGGAGCUAGCUCCUGGUUCUGUUGUGUGAGCCAACAUGAUAUACAAGAUCACCCGCUGGACAGGAUGCCAGUUUUUCGCUGGGCCUUACCCACAACCUAGGUCCUAAAAGAUGCAGUCUGGGACUUUUAUAAUUAACCCAAAGAAAAUGGAACCUCCCAUUUUGAGCUGGAUGUUGAGUGCAAGGCAGGGAUCAAUCUGGUCUUACAUGUUCUGUUGUAUGAUUCAGCUGGGGCCACUGAUUUCGUCUCUAGAUGUCCCAAAGGACACCAUAAUUAGGACAAUUAAAAAGCAUUUACUUAUAGUGUACUGUACACUAGUAAUAUACUGAUGUAGCAAAAUGCUCCUAUCCUACACUCAAUUUAUACAUAUUUAUUCAUAGUACAGGAGACAUGAAAGGUCGGUGGAACUGAUGAAAGGUCUGUGGAAACUCACACCUACUAUACAUGGAUACAGUGCUUCCCCAGGACCAAUCGAAUAGGAAAGAAAGAUCACAUAGCAUGUUCUUCAUUGAUUAUUAUUUACAUUUUGUUAAAAUGUCGAUAUAUUUUCUGUUGGUGAUUUAUCUUUGAACAGCACCACUGCUGUCUUAUUGAUCAUUAUUGACCAAUCAAAUACUCCUGCAUGGGAAGACAUUACAUUUAGUGCAUGUUCGCCCCUUGACACGUCUAGAUAAACCUAAUGUAAUACAAUCUCCACCACAAGCACCUCUAUUCAGGAACACGUUUUGCCACUCCUUCAUAAGGGGAAAGCUAUACAAAAAAAAGAAAACAGAUAUUGGGAAUCUUACUUAGGGCUGUUUCUCCUGUCUCUCUAGCCCUAGGGCUCAGAAUAGUGACCCAGUGAUCUACCAACGUGUCCCGGGCCCCACCCAUUACACUGGCAGCCCCAGUGACCAUGCAGGAGCAUUGGCUUGUGCAAGCCAGAAUGGCUCAUAGGAGCAGGUGCCUAUCUCCUGUUUCUGUAGCGUGACUUUGAGACAGCUUGAGGUACAACUGCACCUCAUGGAUGGGACCGCCUGGUCUGUAACAGGGCCUUACCCCCGAUCUAUCUCUAUUUCACUGAAUACCAAUCAGGAACACAUCGGGUCUCAUUUUUAGUCAUCUGACUCAGCGGGGGAUUGAAGUCCCAACCUUCCAAUCUCAGGGUGGACUCUAACAGUGUUUGUAUAGGUCCUCUGUGUGCCAAAUUACACCAUAUUCCCUAUGUAGUGCACUAAAGUAGUCCACUAUUUAGGGAAUAGUGUGCUUCUUGGUAAAACUCAACCUGUGGCUGCCAGUCUAAUGUGUGGGGGCCAGGACACGUUGACCGAACACUGGGUCACUAUUCUAAGCUGUCGAGAUAGAAGAUAAUGUGUCAGGAUUUUGGCCCUUUAUGUAGUUCUCCAUAGUCAGAUGAACUCCUGGAUAUCAUUUGAUAUCCUGUAGAUUUCCAGCAUUUUUCUAAGCUAGUUGAGAUUUUUCUCACUAAAUUACCUCUAUACUUUUGCAGACAUAAAAGCUUACCCAGGAAGUAGAUAAUGGCCUUCAUCCCAAAAUGAAAACUUAAAGGAUGAAUGGUUGAAGGAUUCACAUCUGACUGGCCAUACAGGACAUUCAUCUAUGAUAGGUGGUUAGAUCGCAAAUUUACCAGCCCUUAAUUAAUAUCUGUUGUGACUAGGUAUAAAUGAACAAUCAAUGUAUAACUUGAAAUAUGAAAGAUGCUAUACAGUUAUUAACUUGCAGUACUACCACAGUGCUAAUAUCACGUGCCUUAUUAAGGUCCUAGUAUGUAUACACUAGUAUUAUGUUGUUGUUGGAGAGAUGGUUAGUCAUCUACAUUAUGUUCUGCCACUUUGUGGCAUAAAAGCCGAGGUGGAUCAGUUCGGGAUUUUCCAAAAUAACUCACAGAAAUGUGUGUGGCUGCCAUGGAGGUAUGCAACCCAAUCAGUUGGAUUUAACGCUUACUGGAUGAGAGAUAAUUUCCUUCCAGCCUCAUCUGUAACUACUGACUCAGACAAAGAGAAAGUCAGGGAAAGGCAGACAUUAAUGAAAGUUUUUAAUAAUUUUCAGAAACAACAUCAGUCCCUUGAAUGUAACUGGCUGCAGGAGCAUGACCCAAGCCAAUACAUACUGGCUGAAUCUUAUGAGGAAUUGGUUGGAAGCCAUUUUUAACACCACAUGACAAAGUAUAUGAUCUAGAAUAUUAACCUGGCUAAGGACCCUUUAUGGCUACAUGGACAAUAAGUGCCAAUAUUUGGUGUUCUACCAAAUACUUACAGUGGCUACUUCCAGCAACAAUCCCCAGCAGCAUGUCAAGUAUUGACAGUUCCCAAGAGAACAGUGGGCUGCAUCAUUGGGAAAUUGAAUUGAAGUUUGGAAACACCAAUACUCUAAUUAACAAGACUAAGUAGCCGUGCAAAAAGGGCUUUCUGAAGAGUUGCCUAGAAGGAAGCCCCUCCUGAGUAACUGGGACGUGACGUCACAUGAGAGCAUGAGGAAAAAGAUGCCGGAUAGCCAAGUGCUACGUCUGGUGAAAACAAGGUACAGCUCACCAUCUACGUAAUUCCAUCCCUGUGGUGAAGCAUGUCGGUGGGAGCAUCAUGCCAUAGUAAUGCACACAGCACAUUAGAAUGGGGCAAAGAUUCACCUAUAUACACGACAAUGACCCAAAGCACCAGGCCAAGACAAUGCUUGAGGGGCUUCAGGACGUCUGUGUAUUUUUUUGAGUGGCCCAGCCAAAACCCAGGCAUGAACCCAAUUGAACAACUGUGGAGAGACUUGAAGAAUGUAGUUAACCAACACUUCCCAUCCAAUCUGACAGAGGUUGAGAGGAUCUACAAGGACGAAUUGAAAAAACUGACCAAAGCUGGUAGAAGCAAACCAAGAACAUUCUAAAUCAGAGGGGUCAAACCGGUUCAACAGGGUGCCGGGUAUAUGCUGGUUUUUAGUUUUUCCUUUCAAUUGGUGCCCAACUGAGACCAAAUAGUGUCCUAAUUAACCAAUCAAGCACAAGGUGAGAGCAAAGAUCUGCAGACACUUGGCCCUCUGUGGAACUGGUUUGACACCUCUGCCCUAAACUGUGAUCGCUGAUAAAGAUACAUUUACAAAGUCCUGAAUAAAGGUUCUGAAUGCUUAUGUACCAAAUUAAAAUGUUCAAUUAUAAAUUAGCUCUACAGUAUAACACAACAACAUUUAAAGAAAUUGAUGGAGUCUGAAUGUUUUUUCAGAGGCACUGUAAAUAGAUAAAACACGUAUCAAACCAACAUGCAACACUCAAUUACAUUUAAGAUUUUAAGUUUUAUUUGUAUAUAUUUCAGAACAAUAUUUACAAAUUCCAGAGGCUAUACAUGAUUUGCAUGUAGUUUCUUUAAAAACUAUUGUAAACCUAUCUAUAAAACGUCUGAUUAAAUAAACCUUUAUAAAUAAUGUCCUGAAUGAAUGUUCUUACAAUUACAAUGUAAAACAAUAUACAGUCUAAGGCAGCAUUUUGGAAAAAUCGAAAAUGAAAAAGCAUUGUAUAUAUCCCUUCCUCGUUUCCUGUUAAUGGAACCUGGGGACAGGCAAUAACACACAAGACCAUCAGCCAAUAAAACUGUUCCACUGACUAUUCCACAGGAGAGUCUGGAGUUAUGUAAACAGAAUACAACUAUUAGAGUUUGUGAAUUGCUUUUCUAUUCAGUUUUCUCACAGUUAUAGUCACCACUUUGAGGAACAAUGUAUUCCUGGCUGUUUGGCCUCAGUAGUAGGCUCUGUCUCUUAUGCACCAGUCUCCUUAAGUAAUACACCAAUCUCCAUCUUUGGAAUGUGACAUGGAGUCUUGGUAGUGGAAUUCAAGCUAAGGAGCCUGUUGUUAAAUUGCAAGAAUGAUAAUAUGUAUUAGAGAAUUAUUUUCUCAGGGAGGAAAUCUGUAUAUUUCUCUGAAAAUGUACAUCAAAAUUUACUUUUCAAACAAAUGCACAAAUUUGUCAAAAGAAUACAUUAGCAUAUACUUCUAAUCACUGCAGAUUCAGGGAAGGAGACGAGGAGGACAGAUUUAUCAGACAAUUACGAAACAAUCAGAGACUACAGUAUACAAACAUCAUGUCUGACAUCAAGUAAGAGGCAAUAAAUCCACCCUUGCAAAACCUGCUGAAAGAAAGUCCUGUAAAGUCUCUAUUUUCAACUUGUUUUUUACAAUGUUAGUGUUAGUGCCAUCAGAUAGUAGCUAUUAUUCUUUACAUUGUACUUUGCAAGCUAGCCAUUAACUACACUGAACAAAUCUUUUGAGUUUUAUAGGGGGAUUAAUACUGUGAUUCAUGGGUUUUACAGUGCGGUUACACCUAAUUUCUGUUGCUCAAAUCUCUCAGUAAAGAUAAAAUCACUGGUAAAUUUGAAAUAAUGUAAUGUUGUGUCUCCACUACAAUUAGGGAAAGUAUGCAGUUUAUCGGGCUACAGAUUAAAUAGAUUUUUUAACUUCACAGGGUGGUUUUCAUUCAUGAUAAUAAACUUCAUGUUCUUUACUAAAACUACUGUGUGUCUAGGUUUGGUGAAAUAACUACUGCUUUAAUGUUGAACAACACUGAAUUACUAUUCAACAAUUUAAAAAUGUAUCCACAUUAAUCUAAUAAUUUAGGCUAACCUACCCACAUUAUCUGGGAGGGGUGGUCGACUGGAUGUGCCAAGACCAGAAUGUGCCAAGACAAGAAUGUGCCAAGACCAGAAUGCUAUUUUUAUUUGCUCUUAAAAUCUGCUGUGAAUUCAAACAAUGUUUGACAAAUACAGAGUAGUAGGCCUCUACCAAUCUUCAAUUUCCACCUGAAAACUGAAAUUGGGUUAGAACAGGAGUCGUCGUUUGUGGUUAUAACAUUUUACCAAUGGGACAUGAGACUAGCUCCAAAAGAACUUGGGACUGGAUUGUUCUUGAAUCUUUUUUUGUGAUUACAUGAAUUAUUUAGUAGAACAACCUUGCUACUUUUGCAACAUUGCAGUGUCCAACCCAGGAAAUUUUCUUUCUAUCUUCGAGGAACCAGACAUCAGCUGUUCCCUCAGGACACUGAGCCAAGCCCCUAAACGACUGGCCCCACUCCUGCUGCCUGCCUGGUUAGCCUAAUAAUGGGCACCAACCCAACAUAUCAAAAUACUGGUCCAUUGAAAGGACAUCCAAGAAUAGAUGGGGGUUGGGACACUUCUGAUAUUGUGGUUCAGUUCUGUGUUAAUGCAUUAAUAUAUAAUACAUUAAUACUUACCAAACAUUUUAAAUGUAAAACCUCACCAGCUUUUUUCACUUGGAAUGGUGUGGGCAUACUCCAGCAUAAGAAUGAUUUGCUUGUAUAGCUUAAAAUUGCAAACGGUAUGUGAAUUAACAGUUUUUAAAUCUUUUUUAAUGGUUUUGUCACAAAUGCUAGUACAGAAUUUGUAAUGAUUUGUCUAUGAGUUUUAAAAAUUGUCAUAUCAGCUUUCUCUCCUAUUAGAUGAGAAUAGUGUCUCAGUGUCCAACCAACAUGUCCUGGCCCCCAUCAACUUCACUGGCAGCCCCAGUAGCUUUGCACAAGCUCUGGUUUUUGUGAGCCAGAACAUCUCAUAAGAGUAAGAGCUCCUGAAAGACAUAAAUUGUCUUGGACCUUGGUAUUUAAAAUUAACUUUAAAAUGUACAUCUCAAAUCAAAAUACUAGACAAAGAUAGGUCUGUUUGAAAAUGAAUCACGGUUGUAUAGCUAGAAAGUCUCACUAAAGAGAAAUUAGACUUGCUCCAAACUUUUUUGUGAGAUUAAGCUGACCACAUUCACAGCUUCUGCUAACUUACAGCAUUCCAACCCGGCAAUUUUCCGCCCAUCAUCUCAGAGGAACCAGAACUCAGCUGUUUAGUUCCCUCAGAAAACACUGAGCCAAGCCCUUAAAAGCCUGGACUAACUCCCUCUGCCUGCACAUGCAGCCUACGAGCCAAUGUGAAGCAACGCAACACAUGAUGUCAAAGUACUAGCCCCAUUAAAGAACUUCCAAAAAUAGAUAUCUGGGUUGUGGUCAGGCGGAUAUUGUGAGCCUGAUCAGUGUUAAUACACUGACACAGUCCCAGUUUAGGCUGAUUUAAAGGGCCAGCAUGUUAUCCUUCUGUUGAUGUGGUUGUGCUUCUCUUUUGCUUCAGGGUUAUUCCAUGUUUAUGGCAUAACAAAUCCUGCAAAAAGCAAGAAGAAAAUAGUAAAACAAUAAAGUACUGUAAAGGACAGGAUAGUACUGUAAAGUGACAGUUAAUAAAAACAGUAGUGUUAGUGUAAACCGUGCAGUUAAUAUAGCUAAUACAGUAACUUUAACCACUAGAGUUAAUGUAACCAAUACUGUUACUGUAACCAAUACUGUUACCCUAACCACUAGAGUUAAUGUUACCAAUACUGUUACUGUAACCAAUACUGUUACCCUAACCACUAGAGUUAAUGUAACCAAUACUGUUACUGUAACCAGUACUAUUACUGUAACCAGUAGAGUUAAUUUAACCAAUAUUGUUACUUUAACCAGUAGUGUUAAUGUAAGCAGUAGGUUUAAUGUAACCAAUACUCUAACCAGUAGAGUUAAUGUAACAGGUUAUGUUGAUGUAAAAGGCAGAGUUAAUGUAACCAGUAAAUUUUUUAAUUUUAGCUGAUGCCCUCACCCAGAGCGACUUACAGUACCGAGUGCAAAUAUUUCCGACAUGGUCCCCUGUGGGAAUCAAACCCACAAUCUCUGGCAUUGCAAGCACUAUUCUCUGGCAUUGAGCUACAUGGGUAAAGUGAACACAACCAGUACUAUUGCUUCACAACACAAGUGACCUCCUAUUUUUGACAAUGUUGCAACAAUUUAAGCAACUGGAUAGCCAAUCAAUGACAUUUUAAGCUAGCUGUGCAGUGAGCUUACGUUGGGUUUUUAACUCCAAUACAUUGACUCAUUUUAAAUUUGAUACACAGUAAGCCACCUGUUAUGGAAAUUCCUGAACUAAGGUACAUUUGAGAAAUGUCUGCUUUUCUAUUACCUGGUAUGUAACUCUGGUCUUUAUUUGUAUAAUAUCAGAGGAUUAUUAGGUACUCUGCCCAUCUGUUUAUCUGCCUAAACCAAUAAGGGUAUCUGUCCUUUGUUCCUUAGGAAUGUGGUCCUUGGAGGAAGUAGGGGCAUUUGGCUCAUUUGGGUAAACAAUAUGGCAGAAAGGAUAAGGUAGGGGGGGACAGCCCACCCUUUGGGUAAAACCUGGGUAAAAUCUGACAUAAGACAGCAGGGCAGUAACUUACCACACCCCUUUUAAUUGUAAUAAAUACUGACUGUUCAUGUAUCUACCUCAGAGAUUCCUCAGAUGAUUAUUUUGUAAGCUUUUGACGCGUCUCUCUAUCUGCAAAUAAAUGGCUAAUUAUGCCAAGAGAAUUUUGUCUCUGUACUUACUCCUUUAAGAGUUCCGAUCAAUGGAAUUACCAUCACACACCCCAGCCAUUGAGCUCUACUUACAAUCUGAGUCACACAGCACUAGUGCAACCAACACUGUGCUGUUUUUAACCAGUUCUGUUAUGGUAACAAGUUGAGUUAAUGUAACCAGUACUGUGUAGAGUUAAUGUAGCUAAGAGUUUAACUUCCUCCACUGACAGUUUGCCCGGGCACACACUGGGUGCAAACUCAUGGUCCUCUUUUUGGUAGAACCAGUGACCAUUUCAAAUAUAUGAACUACAAAAAAGGUAUCAAUUGUAUAACCCAAUCGGCAACCUUUCAAGAUAAUUGUUGAGUGAGCUUAUGGUCCGCUCUUAACUCAGACAUCAAACCUCAGACAUGUAGAGCUGACAUCUUACCUCAGACAUGUAGAGCAGACAUCUGAACACAGACAUGUAGAGCAGACAUCUGAACUCAGACAUGUAGAGCAGACAUCUGAACUCAGAUAUGUAGAGCAGACAUCUUAUCUCAAACAUGUAGAGCUGACAUCUUACCUCAGACAUGUAGAGCAGACAUCUUACCUCAUACAUGUAGAGCAGACAUCUAACCUCACACAUGUAGAGCAGACAUCUAACCUCACAC